GCACGGGGAGGUAGUGACGAAAAAUAACGAUACGGAACUCAUACGAGGCUCCGUAAUCGGAAUGAGUACACUUUAAAUCCUUUAACGAGGAUCUAUUGGAGGGCAAGUCUGGCGCCAGCAGCCGCGGUAAUUCCAGCUCCAAUAGCGUAUAUUAAAGUUGUUACGGUUAAAAAGCUCGUAGUUGGAUCUCGGUUUCACUCAGGCGGUACACCUUGCGGUGUUCACUGUCUGGGCGGACGUUUCUGUUGGUUCGCUGUUGGUUCUCUUAAUCGAGUGCCAGCCGGUGGCCAGCACGUUUACCUUGAAAAAAUUGGAGUGCUCAAAGCAGGCGUUACAGCCUGAACAUUAGUGCAUGGAAUAAUGGAAUAGGAUCUCGAUUCUUUUCGUUGGCUUUCGGAGUCGAGGUAAUGAUUAAUAGGGACAGACGGGGGCAUUCGUACUGCGACGUUAGAGGUGAAAUUCUUGGAUCGUCGCAAGACGAACUACUGCGAAAGCAUUUGCCAAGAAUGUUUUCAUUAAUCAAGAACGAAAGUUAGAGGUUCGAAGGCGAUCAGAUACCGCCCUAGUUCUAACCAUAAACGAUGCCAACCGGCGAUCCGUCGUCGUUAAUUGAAUGACUCGACGGGCAGCCUCCGGGAAACCAGAGUGUUUGGGUUCCGGGGGAAGUAUGGUUGCAAAGCUGAAACUUAAAGGAAUUGACGGAAGGGCACCACCAGGAGUGGAGCCUGCGGCUUAAUUUGACCCAACACGGGAAAUCUCACCAGGCCCGGACACCGGAAGGAUUGACAGAUUGAGAGCUCUUUCUUGAUUCGGUGGGUGGUGGUGCAUGGCCGUUCUUAGUUGGUGGAGCGAUUUGUCUGGUUAAUUCCGAUAACGAACGAGACUCUGGCCUACUAACUAGAAGGGCCGUUCUUUAUGAGCGGUCCUCUGCUUCUUAGAGGGACGGGCGGCGUUUAGCCGCACGAGAAUGAGCAAUAACAGGUCUGUGAUGCCCUUAGAUGUUCUGGGCUGCACGCGCGCUACACUGAAGGAAUCAGCAUGUUCUCCCCUCCCUGAAAAGGGCGGGUAACCCGUUGAAACUCCUUCGUGAUGGGGAUUGGAGAUUGUAAUUAUUCUCCAUGAACGAGGAAUUCCCAGUAGGCGCGAGUCAUCAGCUUGCGUCGAUUACGUCCCUGCCCUUUGUACACACCGCCCGUCGCUACUACCGAUCGAGUGAUUUAGUGAGGACUUCGGACUGGUCUUCAAGUUGGCUUCGGUCAGCUCGAAGCUCCGGAAAGAUGCCCAAACUUGAUCACUUAGA
rnacentral:rRNA from 1 species